ensembl:lncRNA
CCAGCCUGACCCUGCGGGGCGGGGACAGGAUUUAUCACGUCGGGAAGAGGAACAGGGAGCUGUGUCCUGGCACGGCCCCGCAGAUAACAGCGCUGGUCAUGGCCAGGGUCAGCCACAUGGUUUCCAGGAUUCAAGCAGUGGAACCAACCCUUGUCCCAGACAUAGCGGGAAACCCUUCACCUACCCAAAUUCGUAGUUUAUUCCCUACAAAAUUAAUCCUUCCCCUUUCUUCUCCCGAACCCCUUCACAGCCCAUCAGCUUGGGGUGGGCACACAGAACCUGCCCAGAAGCUGCUUGUUGUGGCUGGCGGGGUGGGGAGCAGUGUGACUGGUGCUGUGCUCUCCCCAGGUGCUGAGGAGCCACGUCAUGGUGCGUGUCGGCGGUGGCUGGGACACACUGGAACAUUACCUGGACAAGCACGACCCGUGCCGCUGCUCCUCCCUGUCUCACCGCCUGCCCCCCGCCCGCACCCUGACCUUCUCCCCACCAAAACCCGCCGUCAACAGUGCCAGCCCCGCACCCCACGCCCCCAGCCCCAGCACCCCGCGCCGUGCCGACACGACCAGCCUCGGGGACAAGCGGCUGCCAGGCUGGGGGGACGUUGGCUACAGCAGGACGGAGCGGGGCAGCACCCCAAAGCCUGCGCCUGGAGCCGUCCUGCCCCCCCGGGCCCCCGCCAGCCCAUCCAGGAGCCCCGCCAGUGCACUCAGGCCCCGCGACUCCACCCGCACCCGCCGCCAUUCCGGGGACAGCGACUCCUCGUCGGCCUCAUCGGUGGGACCCCCGCGGGGCCACCGCC